AGCGGGGGGGGUUAUACUGGCGGGGGGGGGGCUUUAUACUCAGAGGGGGGGGUUUAUACUGGGGGGGUUUAAACUGGGAAGGGAAGGGUUUAUACUGGGAGGGGGGGGUUUAAUAUUUGGGGGGGGGCUGUUAUACUGGGAGGGGGGGUUUAUACUGGGGGGGGGGGGGGUUAAAACUGGGAAGGGGGGGGGUUUAUAUUGGGGGGGGGGGUGCUCCCAGUUGGUUGUGUUCCUAACAUACUGGAGCCAUCAGUACGGCAGAUUCCAUCCGUCGACCUGAAGGAACCAUUGAUCCGCCGUCAAAACCGGACCAGAUGCGAAUCAAAAUUUGUACUCGAAACAAUGGUGGGUUUGGGCCUGGAAGGGUCAAAUGGAACAUGGGGCGGGGGGGGGAGGCGUCCUUAAAGGGGAAAUGUGGGGUUGGGAGAGGUCCUUAAAGGGGAAAUGUGGGGUUGGGAGGGUCCUUAAAGGGGAAAUGUUGGGUUGGGAGGGUCCUGAAAGGGGAAAUGUGGGGUUGGGAGGGUCCUUAAAGGGGAAAUGUGGGGUUGGGAGGGUCCUUAAGGUUGUGGGGGUCCUUAAAGGGAAAUGUGGGUUGGAGGCGUCCUUAAAGGGGAAAUGUGGUGGGUUGGGAGGGU
rnacentral:lncRNA from 1 species